CGUGCUGUGUGUGGUACCCUACUGCAGACGUGGCAAUCAUGUAUAAUUAAAAAUGAUUGGUACGUCUGUGAGUAGAGUACUGCAUGACACAUG
rnacentral:pre_miRNA from 1 species